UUAUUUUCUCAUUAUCUUUGCCUAAGCUUGCCUUCUUUUUGUUUAUAUAGUUUUUUUUUUAAAAAAAAAAAUCACGAAGGACACCAUUGAUCUUUGCCAUGAAAAAUAUUUGGAAAACUGAGAAAAUUUGUUCUAUUAUCUGAUAUAGUAGGAGUUUUUGACCUUUUGGUAAGGUGCUAAAAUACUUUUGAUGAAUUGAGAUGCUCGUUUGAUUUGGGUAAUGAGAUGUUAUAACAUGUUCAUCAGAAUUCUGAAGCAUCCAGUGUUCAUCCUGGGGAAAACUAGUUCUAUUUUGGAGAAUUUGCGUGCUUUUAUGGUUUCUGUUUAUUUCUAUUGAUUUUGAACUUUCUUCUUGGUCUGUGUUACUUAAAAAGGUUGAGGACAUCCUUGGGGAGCAUGCAAUUCUUUUUAAGGAACACUAUUACCUAAAGCCUACUGGAAAUUGUGAUCUUUCUAGGAUGAGCGAUCCUCAUAACGAAUUCAAGGGGAAGAAUGUGCUUAUUGAACUUAAUGAUUCUUCUGCCUCGGCUUCAAAACUUGGUAUGCCACUGGAGAAAUAUCUAAAUAUUUUGGGUGAAUGUAGACGAAAGCUGUUUGACGUAAGAUCCAAAAGACCAAGGCCACAUUUGGAUGACAAGGUAUUUGCCUUUUUCCUUCUCUCUUUCCGCCUUCAUCCUUGCCUCCUUAAAAAGCAAAGAUUAAAAUUUAUCUAUUAAAACAAGUAACUAGUCUAUCAGAUGAAUCACCUGAUUUUUUUUCAGCCUUCGUACUGGUUAUACACACAUUAAGUGAUCAGGUGCUUGCUAGGUAAUUGUAUCAUGGAAUGGACUUGUGAUUUCGUCCUUUGCAAGAGCCUCAAAAAUUCUCAAGAGUGAAGCUGAGAGCGCCAUGUUCAACUUCCCUGUUGUCGGCUCUGAUGUAAGAUCUUUACUAUUUUGGCUUAUGCUUGGCAACAUGAAUUAUCUAAAUGAAUUACAUUAUGUACUCUAUUUAGAUGAGGGUGUGCCACCUUGUUUAGCAUGAUAUAAAGAUUUAACUAGUUAAUUAAUUAUCAACUAUGUCUACUGUUGAUCAGAGGUUUUAGAUGAGGGCGUGUCACCUUGUUUAGCAUGAUAUAAAGCUUUAAAUAGUUAAUUAAUUACCAACUAUGUCUACUGCUGAUCAAAGGUUUUGUGGGAGUAUUAUGACAUGCGAUUACCCCGGGGCUCUUGCUUGCUAGAGAGGGCGACCCUUUAGUUUUUGAGUUUGAAAAUAUUUGGAAAACUGAGAAAAUUUGUUCUAUUAUCUGAUAUAGUAGGAGUUUUUGACCUUUUGGUAAGGUGCUAAAAUACUUUUGAUGAAUUGAGAUGCUCGUUUGAUUUGGGUAAUGAGAUGUUAUAACAUGUUCAUCAGAAUUCUGAAGCAUCCAGUGUUCAUCCUGGGGAAAACUAGUUCUAUUUUGGAGAAUUUGCGUGCUUUUAUGGUUUCUGUUUAUUUCUAUUGAUUUUGAACUUUCUUCUUGGUCUGUGUUACUUAAAAAGGUUGAGGACAUCCUUGGGGAGCAUGCAAUUCUUUUUAAGGAACACUAUUACCUAAAGCCUACUGGAAAUUGUGAUCUUUCUAGGAUGAGCGAUCCUCAUAACGAAUUCAAGGGGAAGAAUGUGCUUAUUGAACUUAAUGAUUCUUCUGCCUCGGCUUCAAAACUUGGUAUGCCACUGGAGAAAUAUCUAAAUAUUUUGGGUGAAUGUAGACGAAAGCUGUUUGACGUAAGAUCCAAAAGACCAAGGCCACAUUUGGAUGACAAGGUAUUUGCCUUUUUCCUUCUCUCUUUCCGCCUUCAUCCUUGCCUCCUUAAAAAGCAAAGAUUAAAAUUUAUCUAUUAAAACAAGUAACUAGUCUAUC
rnacentral:lncRNA from 1 species